CCUACGGGUGGCAGCAGUGAGGAAUAUUGGUCAAUGGACGCGAGUCUGAACCAGCCAUGCCGCGUGCAGGAAGACUGCCCUAUGAGUUGUAAACUGCUUUUGUACGAGGGUAAACGCAGAUACGCGUAUCUUUCUGAAAGUAUCGUACGAAUAAGGAUCGGCUAACUCCGUGCCAGCAGCCGCGGUAAUACGGAGGAUUCAAGCGUUAUCCGGAUUUAUUGGGUUUAAAGGGUGCGUAGGCGGUCGGAUAAGUUAGAUGUGAAAUCCUGAGGCUCAACUUUGGAAUUGCCUUUGAUACUGGUCGGCUAGAGAACAGUUGAGGUAGGCGGAAUGCAUGGUGUAGCGGUGAAAUGCUUAGAGAUCACACAGAACACCGAUUGCGAAGGCAGCUUACCAAGCUACUUCUGACGUUGAGGCACGAAAGCGUGGGGAGCAAACAGGAUUAGAUACCCUAGUAGUC
rnacentral:rRNA from 1 species